rnacentral:rRNA from 2 species
UGACCUCGGAUCAGGUAGAU